CCAGGUUGUCCUGUGACAAGGAAUCUCAGAGUUGUUCCUCAUAUCUAUAUCUACUGUUAGAUUGACUUAAUUUUGUGUAUAUUUUUCAGAUCAGCAAAGAAGAAUCUUAACAGGUCAUCUUGAAGAAAAGUAAUUAGUAAUUGUGCUUAUGAAAUCUACUGGAUAGGUAAUUUGAUCGUCAUGGCUCUCUAACUCAUCUCACUCACUGACAAGGUCUUCAGCAUCCACAUGGGAAGAAGGAACAGUGAGGAGACAUUUGCCCCUGCAGCAUGGAAGACCAACAGCCUCCUUAUCUGCAUGAGACAGAGCAUUGCCAGCAGGUCAUGGGAGGUGAUCCUUCCCCUCUACUCAGCCCUGGUGAGGCACACCUGGAGUUCUGGGUCCAGCACUGGGCUCCAAAGUACAAGAAAGAGACAUGGACACACUCUGAAGGGAUUACAUACAACUCAAAUGUUCAAGAGACAUUGACGUACUGGGAAAAGUCCAGUGGAGGGCCACCAAGAUGAUGAAAGGACUGGAGCAUCUCUCCUGUGAGAUAGCUGGGGCUGCUCAGCCUGGAGAAGAGGAGGCUCAGGGGGAUCUCAUCCUUGUCUGUAAAUCCCUGAAGGGAGGGUGCAGAGAGGACAGAGCCAGACUCUGCCCAGUGGUGCCCAGUUCCAGGACAGGAGGCCAUGGGCACAGCCAGGCACCCAGGGAGGCUCCCUCUGAGCACCAGGCAGCACUGCUGUGCUGGGCGGGUGACGGAGCCCUGGCACAGGCUGCCCAGAGGGGCUGUGGGGUCUCCUCCUUGGGGAUUUCUAUAAGCUGCCUGGAUGUGGUCCUGGGCAGCCUGCUCUGGAUGUCCUUGCUUGAGCAGGGGUUGGACCAGAUGGAUCCAGAAGUCCCUUCCUACCUCAACAGUUCUGUGAUUCUGUGAAAUUGUCCUGUCAAUUUAGAAGAAAUUCUAAAAGAAACGGAUAAAAUGAUUAGUAAGAAACAAGUUGUUAGUGCCAGAUACUCUUCAUCUAAGAGUCCUGAAGGAACUCAACGAACUCACAUAUACUGUUACCUCACUACUCAACAUGCCGUUUUACCCAUCAUUUAUGCGGGUUGUGGUUGUAGAGGAAUGAAAGAUUCACUUUCUUUAACAGUCCUUUAUAAAGACAUCUUACUAUUUUUACAAAAUGUAUUGAAACUGUAUAACAAUUAAACUGCAUACUCAACAAUUUUAAAAUGAAGAAAGGCCAACAUGGAUUUUAGGUCGAUACUGAGAUUAACUGUUUGCUAACUUUUGGAAAAAAAAGAAAAAAAAAAAAAAGCUUUAAGCUUCUUUGAAGGAAUCAAGAAAAUUAUUUUUAUAGCAUGUACAGGGAAUUGCAAAAUGUAGGAGAUGCUGGAAAAAAAAAAACAAAAACAAAAAACAACUAAGUUGCAUAACAAGAAGAAGGGGGUAGAGAUGGGGUUGGGAGGGAGAAAGUGGUGGUGUGACAUUUUCCACCAGCUGAGGAUGUCAAUUUCUUACUCGUUCUUUGCCAAAGCAGGAAUCCCAGGCCACAAUAUUUAAUGUCCCUCUUCAGUACAAUGGCAUACUUCUCAAGGAGAAGUCUGCAUUAAUUUGGCUGUUUUUGCUAUGUUCAGCCACACCAUCCCCAAGGGUAGGUUAUCUUUUAACCCAAGUACCCUCUGUGCCUCUCCCUCAAACACUGUAUAAUUAAUCAUCCUGAAAGGUGGCUAAGAGGUAAACAACCAAUUUCUGUAUUGCAGAUGCUGCUGCUUUGUCAAAUAAUCGGUGCAAAGACAUGUUAACAGUACGAAGGGAGAUUCACGUCUUUGUUCAUUCAUUCAUUUCACUAAGCUGUCCAUUAUUGGUUGUCCAGUAAGGUAAGUGAAAAUGAGGGAAAAGCUACCCAAAAUAAGUGUUAGGAGAGAAUGAAGGAUCUUUCUUUUAUCAUGGCAUCUGUGAUUCAGCUUGUAUAAAAACAAUAGGCUGGAUCACACCCGCUUCUAGGGAUUGCUUGGAGCAGAAACAAAGUAAUUAUUAGAAUUAAUAUGAACAAAAGUAUCCUGGCUGAUCUUCCUGAUGGACUCCUGAAGUAAUAAGAAACAGACCUGAAGGUUUCAAGCUGGUCACUUCCUAGCACAAAGCUGCUUUUGGGAGCGAACUGAUGAGAUGUGAAAUUUGUAUUGCCACAGGCAAGGCAGAAUUACCCUGCCAUGUGUCUGUGAUGCUAAUGUAAUUAAUCCCAGUAAAGCUCAUUUUUAAAUAGCUUAAACUAGAAGUUUAAAUUUAUUUUAUUCUGCUACUCAUUGAAUGCAUUCUGAUACAUUAGAUGGAAAUGGAAAGGUCCAAACUGGUGAAACUGGAAACCCAUCUAAACUGAAGUACAAGAUGGCUGUACCCUUCAAACAAACAAGUGAAAAUUGAUAAUUCCCAAAUUAAUGAAAAUUUGUCAGUAAAACUGAAUCAGAUUUAAAAACUGAAAGCUAAAAAUGAAAUGAAAAUAUAAAGUCAUUGAAGAAUCCUGAAUAAUGAAUCUGCCCUGCUUUUUGAGGAAUGCUGGAGGGUGCCUCACUACUUGAAUCUGAUGCAGUUACUGAAGACCCAGUCAGCCACUGGCAUGGUGCCUGCUGCCAUGAAGAAUGGAAUUUAAAAAAAUUUGGAGUGUAAAAACAUGGAGUGUAAAAACAUUGACUUGAUGAAAAAUUCUGUGCCUUUCCAUACAGACAAUACUUGUGCAGUAGAAUAAUGUAGAAUUUCGUAAAAAAUCAUGGUCUUCCAAAGUCUCUUGAUGAAUAAAAUUUGCUAUUUUCUGGCUUAUCAUCUCCAACUUACUCUGAACGAUCCGAAUGAUCUCUCUCUCUCUCUCUCUCUUUUUUUUAAAUUUUUUUAAUCUUCUUUUUUUUAAAAAAAAAAUUAUUU